ensembl:lncRNA
AGAAUAGAAUGCACACAAAAAUUGCACUGAGCUUAAACACUAAAAUGAAGGGGAUUUUCCUUCUCCUAAGUGCAGAUUUAACACAAUAAAUUAGUUUGGAACUACUUUAGUUUCCUAAGCAAAAUCAAUCCUCUGAUAUUUAUCAGGCUGGCAGUGUUGCAGUCCUCUAUUUACUUAAAAUACUGAACAUUUGAACUGCUGAUGUACAGCAACGACACCAGCAGAUUACAAGGGGUUUGCAAGCAUUGGGCAGUGUGUAGCAGGAGGAAGGCAGAACUCACUGCUGCUGCCUGGGUGGUCGUUCUGCCCAAAUCUCAGAGUAUCACGUUUGGCACAAACUGGAAGCGGGCUCAGAAAGGCCUAAAACAACCACAAGUAAGAGAGGCUUUCCUUAUGUCCACAAUAUCCUUCAGCUUCAGAAACUCAUGGAUUACUUUACUGCUGGUAAUACCGUACCAAAGCCUUCGCAGCCAUGGCAUCGUUGUAAUAGCAUCAGUCGACGUCCUGCCCUCGCUCUCUAAAUUUCUCCCAAGCCUUGCAAGCACCAGAAGUACGAGCGCCAGAUCCUCUCAUCUCCUUCCCUCCCUUGACCUCACCUCUGUGUCCCACACCUCUCCAGGCAGCCCAUGCACGCUCCUGAGGAAGAAUGUGGCCAAUAUACUGCCAAGUGCUGCUAAAUGGAAGAAGGCAGAGGAUAACAAAAAAUCAAAAAGACUGGAGGAAGAUUUCUUCCUGAUGCUGUAAUCUCAUGCUGCUGUUUAUCUCCACCUGUGACUUUGCUUAUUCCUUCGUCCCUCUAUAAAUCACUGCAGCUGGUGGUGCAUUCACCCAACCUUUCUGCCAGGAUGGUGUCAAACCUCUUCCCAUCAGACACCUGAACUGGUCAAUUCCUACCGCUAAACACCACUAUUUUGAAGAAGGAAAACUGAAGUGAAAGCAAAUUUCAAAGGUACUCAAGACUUGUGUGAUACGGCGCUGAGCUCUGUGCUCACACAGAGAGCUGUUGGUUUUAGGCAUGCUAAAUGAAACACAUUUUACAUCUGCAGCAGAGUAAGAAAAAGUCUCGUUUCUUUUGCCUGAACAAAAGGCAAAGCAUAUAGCAGCUGCUGUUCUUGUAGUAAAGAUUUCAAAACUGAAUGGCAGUGCUCUCUCACUCCUAUUCAUUUGACACUCAGCUUUCAGAUUGUGAUGUUCACUGUCAUAUUUAUCACUUAACUAUGAUGGGCUGUUUGGGGUGACAGUUAUGGAUGGAAGCAGCCACAGUUCUCACCACCUUUCCAGAUCCAUUUUAAGUGGUUUCUGCUCCAUCAUCACUAAGAGCUGAUGCUGCUAUUCCCAUAGUUGGGAGAUUAGAAGCAAUGUAUGAAUUCAGGCCUUUCUCCUUCCUGUGGUUGCCCUAUGGUCAGGCAGAGGAGACUUUCUCAACUCUUUCGACCACUGCUGGUGAAAUGAGCCCCACAGUACGUGAUCGAGAGAACUGACUUUGAGCUUUGAUAGUUAUAAAUAGUAGGCACUGUAAUUGUCUAGCAGUUCUCCUGCAAAGAAGAGGUAAUUGUGUGGAUGAAUAAAAUAUUGGCAUUAAAAAAACAUUUUAAGCUUAAUCUCAAAGUAGCUGAUGAAGUAUUUCUAUGGCAGACCUGUCAGCUCACGUGCUCUCAGUGGUAGCUUCUCAUGCUUGGUUGGCUCUUUUGUAAGAAGAGAAAAAGAAUUAAAAAGAAAAAAACAAAAAUGAAACACACCAGAAACACAUGCACAGUACAGAAUGCACACACAACGAAACAGCAAAAUAAUCCUGAAAAUCAAAUGCGUGCAUUUGGAGAGGGCCUUCUGCACUUCUACAUGUUACCUCUCAUGGGGAAGUUCCCAGCCCUGCCACUCAGGCAGACCCAGUGGAGGAGCUUUUCUCUCUGGGUGCCCAUCCCCAGCCUCACUGUACCUGACAACUUCAUGGUUCAGCCUGUUUCUUCUCCAGGGGGCAGAGCCAUGCUGCCUUCCCCUUCUGCAGGGAUGAAGCUUCGGCUGCCAUUACACUGUGCUCUUGGAGAGACCUUCAGCUCAAACUGAUCUACAGCCUACCUGUGGGAUAGUCUUCAGCCUCCAGGCAGAGCAAAGCAGCCAGAGCACACCUGGGAGAGGAAGGAUCCUGAAAACUGCUGCUUAUGGGGUGGCAUCAGAUUACGACCAGUUCCUAGGAUUUGGCUCAGAGAUACAGAGGAAAGCAGGGAGGUGGGCUGGCUCCUCCAUCCUGGACCAAAAGUUUGAUGCAGGGAUUGGGUCUCCUCCCACUGCAUCAAUGCAUAGGAUGAGGGGAGGAGGAAGGAAAAGUGACUGGCAUUUUGAGAUCAUUGAUAACCUUCAUGAGGCAUUAGUUUUAUUUAAUAUAGAGUGUCAUGUUGGGUCCAGUAUUUCAGGGACCGAUUUAAGAUUUAACAGCAAUUCACAAUGCUAACAUCAGCCAAAGCAUUUCUGUUUGGAUUUUAGUUCUCCAGCAGAAGGAUGACAGCACUGAAGAUUAAAGCUUUUUUUUACCCCUCCUUAAGAUCUCAGCAAAGUGCAGAUUUGAAACACAGAAAGAGGUUGACCUUCGUAUUAACCUGAAUCUCUUUUCCUGUUUCUUCUUGAACAUAUUUUAUUCUCUUUAUGCACAGUGGGGCUCUUUUUUUCUUGUGUGAGGCUGUUGAAUGAAAUGCCAGAAAGAUGGAGUGUGCACUUUUACAUCAAAGAAAUGAUGAGACCAUAAAAACUCAUUUCCCUUGUGACUUCUUAAAUUGUUGCUAAGGAAUUCAAUGAGUCUGUUUGAAACAAUGUGUCCCUUUAAAUUCUGUUUUCUUAUUUGUCUUAAAACACAAAGCCACAGUUUCUUGUAGACCCCGAUUCAAAG